GACGAACGCUGGCGGCGCGCCUAACACAUGCAAGUCGAGCGAGAAGCGGGACUUCGGUCCCGUGGAGAGCGGCGAACGGGUGCGUAACACGUGAGCAACCUGCCCCGAAGACCGGGACAACCGAGGGAAACUUCGGCUAAUACCGGAUGCCCUCACCGGAUCGCAUGGUCUGGUGAGGAAAUGGAUUCCGCUUCGGGAUGGGCUCGCGGUCUAUCAGCUUGUUGGUGGGGUAACGGCCCACCAAGGCGACGACGGAUAGCUGGUCUGAGAGGACGAUCAGCCACACUGGGACUGAGACACGGCCCAGACUCCUACGGGAGGCUG
rnacentral:rRNA from 1 species